GGACAUGUCAUAUUUCUUUCUAAGUAGAAGGACAUGUCAUAUUUCUUUCUAAUAUAAAGGACAUGUCAUAUUUCUUUCCAAGUAUAAAGGACAUGUCAUAUUUCUUUCUAAGUAGAAGGGCUUUCCAGGACCAUAGUAAGUCACUACAGCUUUUCACUUGUCAUUCUGAAGAGAAAAUGAAUGGAUGACAAUCAUAUUAUGUAUUCAGUAUUUAUGUAUCAUUACAUAUUUGUAUAUAUUGUAUAUUGAAGCAAUAAGGCCUGAGGGGGUAUGCUAUAUGGCCAAUAUACCACGGCUAAGGGCUGUUCUUACACACAACUCAACGCGGAGUGCCUGGAUACAGCCCUUAGCUGUGGUAUAUUGGCCAUAUUCAACAAACCCCCGAGGUGACUUAUUGCUAUUAUAAACUGGUUACCAACUUAAAAAAUAUAUAUGUUUUGUCAUACCCGUGGUAUACGGUCUGAAAUACCACGGCUGUCAGACAAUCAGCAUUCAGGGCUCGAACCACCCAGUUUAUAAUUAAUUCUCAGUUCUUCCUCAGUAAUAUCAAGGUGCACAAAAUCAACAAAUGUUGACAGACAACAUCUAGGAAAUGUACUGUAGACCUACUUAUAUGAUCAUGUCUUCAAAGCCUCAUAAGCAUGUAUUUAUAUAUAAAUAGUGUAUUUUCUUUCUUUUAAGUAUGAAACACUGAAUGUGUCCACUACUUUUGACGGGAGCCCCAUGUGCCCCUGGUCAAACGAUGUGCAUUACAGUGGACAGGAGGCCGUUUCAGAUGCAACCACUGUUAUUAUUUCCAUUGAUUGACCUCUAACCUAACAUUUUUGCAGUUUUGAGAGACAGUAUAAGGCUUGAGAACUACACAACACACACACACACAUACACCACCCAAGCACAGUUUCACUGCUGAAACACAGCAAUCUGAAUCAAUCUCACUUGCAUUCCAUUUUUAUUGCAGGUAAUUUAUAUAUAUUUUUUAAACAAGCACAAUUUUUUACUAUUAUAAUUUUCAAUCGUUUUUCCCCCGACAUACCUAAAUUCUGUAUGCAAUACAAAGUCUUCGAGCUUCGACAAGACAGUAGCUGAACCUAUCAAGACUCCUCUUCUGUUUAAGACGGGGUAAAAAUUGCACUAUUUUUAUUUUUAUGUCUGAUUUAUAUUUAUACUGCAAUACAUGCACUAAAUGUAACUCUGCUGUACCCACCACCACCUCCAAUACUGAAUAUGAUGUCUGGUGUAAUAACAACAAUGUUCAGAAAAGUCAACAUAUGAAAUGUCCUACUAACCUGCUGUACCCGAUAAUGUACAGAACACAUCUGUUUUCAAUAGCACAUUAUGAAAAAUAAGAACAGAAAUGAAUAAACAGAUGUACUGAUGUUUACAAA
rnacentral:lncRNA from 1 species